UGUGGACUAGCCAUGCCAGCUGUUUCCCCCCGUUUCCAGUCUUUAUGCUAAGCCUAGCUAACUUGCUGCUGGUUGUAGCUUUAUGUUUACCAUAGAGACAGUGGGGGUAGAAUGAAAUCAAUCA